AUUGAACGCUGGCGGCAGGCCUAACACAUGCAAGUCGAGCGGAUGAAGGGAGCUUGCUCCUUGAUUCAGCGGCGGACGGGUGAGUAAUGCCUAGGAAUCUGCCUGGUAGUGGGGGAUAACGUCCGGAAACGGGCGCUAAUACCGCAUACGUCCUGAGGGAGAAAGUGGGGGAUCUUCGGACCUCAGGCUCUCAGAUGAUCCUAGGUCGACUUGGCUAGUUGGUGGGGUAAAGGCCUACCAAGGCUACGAUCCGUAACUGGUCUGAGAGGAUGAUCAGUCACACUGGAACUGAGACACGGUCCAGACUCCUACGGGAGGCAGCAGUGGGGAAUAUUGGACAAUGGGCGAAAGCCUGAUCCAGCCAUGCCGCGUGUGUGAAGAAGGUCUUCGGAUUGUAAAGCACUUUAAGUUGGGAGGAAGGGCAGUAAGUUAAUACCUUGCUGUUUUGACGUUACCAAAAGAGUAAGCACCGGCUAACUUCGUG
rnacentral:rRNA from 1 species